rnacentral:lncRNA from 1 species
UUGAAAGCAAUUUUGAAAGAAAUGUGUAAAAAUUUGAAUUCGAUUGGUAUUUUCGAAUGAAAAAUUAGAAAUAAAGAGUCAAAGUAUAAAUAGAGAAAGUUUGGUCACGUAGAACCGUGCAGUCGGCAAUUCCGACGAAUCAGAGCACAUCGUAUGGCAAGGCACACUGACAUCGGUGCCACACGAGAGGCCACGCGGGCGAUCCGCGUGCCUCGCAAUCGGACAGUCCAGGAUCGAUCCUGCACAUGUGGACGACUUAUAUUUGUUUUUUUCUUAGGCGUGAUCAGACAGCCGAGAUAAAUCGCGAUGGACG